UGGGGAAUAUUGCACAAUGGGCGAAAGCCUGAUGCAGCGACGCCGCGUGAGGGAUGACGGCCUUCGGGUUGUAAACCUCUUUCAGCAGGGACGAAGCGCAAGUGACGGUACCUGCAGAAGAAGCACCGGCUAACUACGUGCCAGCAGCCGCGGUAAUACGUAGGGUGCAAGCGUUGUCCGGAAUUACUGGGCGUAAAGAGUUCGUAGGCGGUUUGUCGCGUCGUUUGUUAAAACCAGCAGCUCAACUGCUGGCUUGCAGGCGAUACGGGCAGACUUGAGUACUGCAGGGGAGACUGGAAUUCCUGGUGUAGCGGUGAAAUGCGCAGAUAUCAGGAGGAACACCGGUGGCGAAGGCGGGUCUCUGGGCAGUAACUGACGCUGAGGAACGAAAGCGUGGGUAGCGAACAGG
rnacentral:rRNA from 1 species